UUUUUUAAGUCUUCAUUGUAAUAGCUGCUGUCUCUUCUCCAUACCAGUUACAGAAUCACAGAAUCACCAAAUGUCAGGGUUUGGAAGGAGCCUUGAAAGAUCAUGUUGUCCAAUCCUCCCGCUUUAGCCGGAAUGCCUUGAUUAGGUCACUCAGGAAUGUGUCCAGGCAGGUUUUGAAUGUCUCCAGAGAAGGAGACUCCACAACCUCUCUGGGCAGCCCGUUGCAGUGUUCUGUUACCCUCACCAUGAAGAAGUUUCUUCUCAUAUUUUUGUGGAACCUCCUAUGUUCCAGCUUGCAGCCAUUACCCCUUGUCCUAUCACUGGAUGUCACUGAGAAGAGCCUGGCUCCAUCCUUCUGAUGCACACCCUUUGCAUAUUUAUAAAUGUUAAUGAGGCCACUUCUCAGUCUCCUCCAAGCUAAAGAGACCCAGCUCCGUCAGCCUUUCCUUGAAAGGGAGAUGCUCCAGUCCCUUCAUCAUCUUUGUGGCUCUGCGCUGGAUUCUCUCAAGCAGUUCCCUGUCCUUGAAUGGAGGGGCCCAGAACUGGACGUAAUACUGCAGAUGCGGUCUCACCAGGGCAGAGUAGAGGGGGAGGAGAACCCUUUUCGGCCUACUAACCACACCCCUUCUCAUACACCCCAGGAUGCCCUUGGCCUUCUUGCAGUGCUGGCUCAUGGUCACCCUGCUGUCCACCAGAACCCCCGGGUCCCUUUUCCCUCGGCUGCUCUCCAACAGCUCCGUCCCCAACCUGUAC
ensembl:lncRNA